UGGCAUUGUAGGCUUGGUCAUGUGAAUAAGAAUAGGAUUGAUAGGUUGAUCAAGAAACGUAUUCUUGAAAUAGAUGAUUGUGAAUUAUUGCCUACCUGCAAAUCUUAUCUACUUCGUAUGAUGACUAAGUCAUCUUUUAAGAAAAAAGGUGAUAGAGCCAAUGAUGUCCUAAGUCUAAUACAUAUGAUGUAUGUGGACCUAUGAACAUAAUGUUGGAUGUAUGCCCUAGAAGCCAAUCUUGG
rnacentral:lncRNA from 1 species